UACGUAGGGUCCGAGCGUUGUCCGGAUUCAUUGGGCGUAAAGGGCGCGCAGGCGGCCCGGAAAGUCGGAUGUGAAAACUCGGGGCUCAACCCCGAGCGUGCACCCGAUACUGCCGGGCUUGAGGCAGGUAGGGAAGUGGAAUUCCCGGUGUAGUGGUGAAAUGCGUAGAUAUCUGGAGGAAUACCGGUGGCGAAGGCGGCAUCCUGGACCGGCAUUGACGCUGAGUGAGCGAAAGCCAGGGGAGCAAACGGG
rnacentral:rRNA from 1 species